rnacentral:rRNA from 1 species
UACGUAGGGUGCAAGCGUUAAUCGGAAUUACUGGGCGUAAAGCGUGCGCAGGCGGCUUUGCAAGACAGAUGUGAAAUCCCCGGGCUCAACCUGGGAACUGCAUUUGUGACUGCAUGGCUAGAGUGCGGCAGAGGGGGAUGGAAUUCCGCGUGUAGCAGUGAAAUGCGUAGAUAUGCGGAGGAACACCGAUGGCGAAGGCAGCCCCCUGGGCCAAUACUGACGCUCAGGCACGAAAGCGUGGGGAGCAAACAGG